CUAAUACAUGCAAGUCGAACGAGUUCUCGUUGAUGAUCGGUGCUUGCACCGAGAUUCAACAUGGAACGAGUGGCGGACGGGUGAGUAACACGUGGGUAACCUGCCCUUAAGUGGGGGAUAACAUUUGGAAACAGAUGCUAAUACCGCAUAGAUCCAAGAACCGCAUGGUUCUUGGCUGAAAGAUGGCGUAAGCUAUCGCUUUUGGAUGGACCCGCGGCGUAUUAGCUAGUUGGUGAGGUAAUGGCUCACCAAGGCGAUGAUACGUAGCCGAACUGAGAGGUUGAUCGGCCACAUUGGGACUGAGACACGGCCCAAACUCCUACGGGAGGCAGCAGUAGGGAAUCUUCCACAAUGGACGCAAGUCUGAUGGAGCAACGCCGCGUGAGUGAAGAAGGCUUUCGGGUCGUAAAACUCUGUUGUUGGAGAAGAAUGGUCGGCAGAGUAACUGUUGUCGGCGUGACGGUAUCCAACCAGAAAGCCACGGCUAACUACGUGCCAGCAGCCGCGGUAAUACGUAGGUGGCAAGCGUUAUCCGGAUUUAUUGGGCGUAAAGCGAGCGCAGGCGGUUUUUUAAGUCUGAUGUGAAAGCCCUCGGCUUAACCGAGGAAGCGCAUCGGAAACUGGGAAACUUGAGUGCAGAAGAGGACAGUGGAACUCCAUGUGUAGCGGUGAAAUGCGUAGAUAUAUGGAAGAACACCAGUGGCGAAGGCGGCUGUCUGGUCUGUAACUGACGCUGAGGCUCGAAAGCAUGGGUAGCGAACAGGAUUAGAUAC
rnacentral:rRNA from 1 species